rnacentral:lncRNA from 1 species
AAUUCCAUGCUGGGGUGUCAUGGGGAAUAAAUAGAGUCCCAUCCCCACAUAUUAAGUGUGCAAGUGAAAUCACUCUUCUUUUUUGGAACGAGUGAGAACAAUGGCCAUUGCAUCAACGAGAUGGGAUGAAACGAAUUGUCUGGUGGUAUCUGCAGGGCCUCCCUAAACUAUGUCUAUAACAUCCAUUACCUUCCCCAAAUUUCUUAGCAUAUCCAAAAAUGGAUUAAGUUGCUUUGACAGGCUCUGUUUUUUAUGAAGCUCUUUGGCUAUUACUUACCAUGUUAUUUUCCUCAAGGUGCUCAUGGACUGAUUUAUGAUUUCAUUUAAGGUUUUGACUGGUAGUUUGGAUACGCUAACUAGCCUACCUUUUCCCGGAUCUGCUUUGGCUGCUUUAUCUCCAAGACUAAAUCAGCCUGCUUAAAUUUCCCUGGUACAUAAGUCUCCACGACAAACACUAGUGUUGGAGGCGUGACAUGUCUUCCCAGGGGAGCCCCAGCCCCUGUUGGGCAUCCCUGCAGCAGAAUAGCUGAGUCAUGGGCAGAACAGCGCCCCCUUGGUCAGUAUGCUGCAGUGCGUGCCUGGACAGGAAAGAGUGUUUAGCUCGAACGAAUUUCCCUGGAGGCAGGGCGAUAAGUAACCAUUCAAGGAAAUGUAUAAGGAAGUAAGUUCGCACAAUUGGCAUGCAGUAGAUGGCUUGGCUGUGUUUCUUAAGUGGGAAAGCAGAAGAAAGAGAGCCUUUGAGAAGAAAGUUCCAUCUGAUGAAUGGGGGUAUUUAUUCACCAACUACUGUCCUCGUUGGAUGAGACGUUCCCCCUGGAGGUGUUAAAUUCCUGGCAUUUCUGAACGCCUUGCUGAAAGGCUAUGUAAGCUCCCCUGGUGUGGGAGAAAACUCCCAGGCAGAGAAGGAGAGAGGUUGGGCAGGUAAGAUGGGAAGAUGUCAGCAUGUGGGCAGACUGGGCACUGCAGCAGGGGUGGACCAAGAGGAUGCGGAGCAACGGGCAGUAGCAUGAGGAGACAGAGCGGCCAAUAUCUAGAUGCAUUGUCUCAUUUAAUCUUCCCAGUAAUGCCAUGAGGUAGGUACUAGUGAGAGUUGGGACUAGGGUAAGGUGAGUGAUUGCCAAAAAAACUCAGUAAUCAAGAUAAAUAAUAUUUUAAUGCAAUACUUAAAAAACUCGAAAUUAAUGAAAAACAUUAUGCUAAACAAAAUGCCAGCAUUUAAAAUAAAGACAGAAUCCAACCCUGCUCUUGCA